rnacentral:rRNA from 1 species
GCUCGAGUGGCGAACGGGUGAGUAACACGUGAGUAACCUGCCCUUGACUUUGGGAUAACUUCAGGAAACUGGGGCUAAUACCGGAUAGGAGCUCCUGCUGCAUGGUGGGGGUUGGAAAGUUUCGGCGGUUGGGGAUGGACUCGCGCUUAUCAGCUUGUUGGUGGGGUAGUGGCUUACCAAGGCUUUGACGGGUAGCCGGCCUGAGAGGGUGACCGGCCACAUUGGGACUGAGAUACGGCCCAG